rnacentral:tRNA from 1 species
AUCCGUCGACUUUAGAAAUCGUGGAGGGUUCAAG